UUCCGGUUGAUCCUGCCGGAGGCCACUGCUAUGGGGGUCCGACUAAGCCAUGCGAGUCAUGGGGCGCCUUGCGCGCACCGGCGGACGGCUCAGUAACACGUCGGUAACCUACCCUCGGGAGGGGGAUAACCCCGGGAAACUGGGGCUAAUCCCCCAUAGGCCUGAGGUACUGGAAGGUCCUCAGGCCGAAAGGGGCUCUGCCCGCCCGAGGAUGGGCCGGCGGCCGAUUAGGUAGUUGGUGGGGUAACGGCCCACCAAGCCGAAGAUCGGUACGGGCCAUGAGAGUGGGAGCCCGGAGAUGGACACUGAGACACGGGUCCAGGCCCUACGGGGCGCAGCAGGCGCGAAACCUCCGCAAUGCGGGCAACCGCGACGGGGGGACCCCCAGUGCCGUGGCAACGCCACGGCUUUUCCGGAGUGUAAAAAGCUCCGGGAAUAAGGGCUGGGCAAGGCCGGUGGCAGCCGCCGCGGUAAUACCGGCGGCCCGAGUGGUGGCCGCUAUUAUUGGGCCUAAAGCGUCCGUAGCCGGGCCCGUAAGUCCCUGGCGAAAUCCCACGGCUCAACCGUGGGGCUUGCUGGGGAUACUGCGGGCCUUGGGACCGGGAGAGGCCGGGGGUACCCCUGGGGUAGGGGUGAAAUCCUAUAAUCCCAGGGGGACCGCCAGUGGCGAAGGCGCCCGGCUGGAACGGGGUCCGACGGUGAGGGACGAA
rnacentral:rRNA from 1 species